rnacentral:rRNA from 1 species
GACGAACGCUGGCGGCGUGCUUAACACAUGCAAGUCGAACGGAAAGGCCCUGCUUUUGUGGGGGGCUCGGGGGGCGAAAGGGUGGAUAAAAAGGGAGUUAACUGGCCUUGACUUUGGGAUAACUUCCGGGAAAUGGGGGCUAAUCCCGGUAAGGAGUCCUUGUGCCUGGUGGGGGUUGGGAAAGUUCGGCGGUUGGGGAUGGACUCGCGGCUUAUCAGCUUGUUGGUGGGGUAGUGGCUUACCAAGGCUUUGACGGGUAGCCGGCCUGAGAGGGUGACCGGCCACAUUGGGACUGAGAUACGGCCCAGACUCCUACGGGAGGCAGCAGUGGGGAAUAUUGCACAAUGGGCGGAAGCCUGAUGCAGCAACGCCGCGUGCGGGAUGACGGCCUUCGGGUUGUAAACCGCUUUCGCCUGUGACGAAGCGUGAGUGACGGUAAUGGGUAAAGAAGCACCGGCUAACUACGUG